rnacentral:lncRNA from 1 species
GGACCCCUGUCCGCAUCCCGCAGGACCCCUGCCCAGCCCCUUCUGAUCGCUGCCCACCUCCUGCAAGGCCUCACCACCAGCAUGGCGCUGCCACCCGCAGGACCCCUACCCCCCCAACCCAUGCUGCCACCCUCAGGACCCCUGCCCUCACCCCCACAUGACCCCUGCCCCCCCCUCGUAGGACCCUACCCCUUUCCCGCCCGACCCCUCCCACCUUGCACCGCUAGCUCUGCCACCGUGCGGCUGCCCUCCGUGGUCUCGCAGAUGUAGACGGCGUCGUCGUCGGCCGAGACGUUGCGCACCGUGAGCCUGCGCUCAGUGCCCGCCUCCUCGAUGCCGUACUUGGCGCUGGCCCACAGACGCGUGUCCUCCUUGUACCACGCGGCCUCCGUGGACGGCAGCUGCACCUCGCACUGGAACGUGGCCGACUCCUUCUCCCGCACCUCCAGGUCCUGAAGUCGCCUCUUGAAGGAAGGAGAUGUCCUGAAGACAAAAAGGAGAACCGAGGCCCGCAGGCAGCAGCCCAGCGCAAAGCUCGGGGGACUCACGCCCACGCCCACGCCCACGCAGCAGCCAGGCUGCGGGGCCAGCUCCAGAUCACUGCAGUCUCUGAUCACCGGCUGUGGGCCAGGCCCCGCUGCCCUGCGCAUUUCCCCCUGUGCAGCCCCCCUCCCCAAGGAACCGGGCUGUUUCCUCCGCGUGGGCCAUGGCCUGGGGCGCACACUGAAGGUCGGAGCGCCCUGAGAUCCUGCAGCGGGUCAGAAGUGGAGGUCAGUCUCUGCUCUUAGGAGCCUCGCCAACUUGCCCGCAGGACCUGAUCACGUCGCCUGCCAGGGCUUCCCUCCAGAACCCGGAGGGAGCCCCAGACCCCUCCAGGGAUCCUCAACGGGAACCUGUGAACUGGCUUAACCCGGCUCGGCCCCAGCCCCAGCCCUUGCCUUUCUCCCGGACUCUGCCUGGGAGACCCCUUUGGCAACCUGUCACUGGGGUGGAGGGCCUGGUUCACCCCGACAGUGUCUCAGGAGGAGGGGUUGCUUAGGACAAAGCGCUUUGUUCACUCAUGUGACUCUCACAAAGACAAUGGGACAGGCUGAGGGUCAUCCGUGUCGCCCUCAUUUCCUGGGCCCGAAGAGGCUAGAGCCGCCAACAGCUCUGCCUCAGGAUUCCACCACGGAUUCCAUUCCAGGUGGGGGCGGGACUGGGGAGGCGCCUGCUUCUGCGCUCUGCGGGCAGCGACCUGGGCGGGGACCGUGCACUCCCGGCCCCGCGGGCGAGGCGC